AACGAACGCUGCGGCAGGCCUAACACAUGCAAGUCGAGCGAGAUCUUCGGAUCUAGCGGCGGACGGGUGAGUAACGCGUGGGAAUAUGCCCUUCUCUACGGAAUAGCCUCGGGAAACUGGGAGUAAUACCGUAUACGCCCUUAGGGGGAAAGAUUUAUCGGAGAAGGAUUAGCCCGCGUUGGAUUAGGUAGUUGGUGGGGUAAUGGCCUACCAAGCCUACGAUCCAUAGCUGGUUUGAGAGGAUGAUCAGCCACACUGGGACUGAGACACGGCCCAGACUCCUACGGGAGGCAGCAGUGGGGAAUCUUAGACAAUGGGGGCAACCCUGAUCUAGCCAUGCCGCGUGAGUGAUGAAGGCCUUAGGGUUGUAAAGCUCUUUCAGCUGGGAAGAUAAUGACGGUACCAGCAGAAGAAGCCCCGGCUAACUCCGUGCCAGCCGCCGCAGUAAUAC
rnacentral:rRNA from 1 species